UACAGAGGUCUCAAGCGUUUGUUCGGAUUCAUUGGGCGUAAAGGGUGCGUAGGUGGCGCGCUAAGUCAGGUGUGAAAUUUCGGAGCUUAACUCCGAAACUGCAUUUGAUACUGGUGUGCUUGAGGACUGGAGAGGAGACUGGAAUUUACGGUGUAGCAGUGAAAUGCGUAGAGAUCGUAAGGAAGACCAGUGGCGAAGGCGGGUCUCUGGACAGUUCCUGACAGCUGAGGCACGAAGGCCAGGGGAGCAAACGGG
rnacentral:rRNA from 1 species